CGAUACGGGACUCAUCCGAGGCCCCGUAAUCGGAAUGAGUACACUCUAAACCCUUUAACGAGGAUCAAUUGGAGGGCAAGUCUGGUGCCAGCAGCCGCGGUAACACCAGCUCCAAUAGCGUAUAUUAAAGUUGUUGCGGUUAAAAAGCUCGUAGUCGAAUUUGUGUCCCGCGCCGCCGGUUCAUCGCUCGCGGUGUUAACUGGCGUGUCCGCGGGACGUCCUGCCGGUGGGCUUAGCUCUCGGGCGGCCCAAUCUCAAUCCCACCGCGGUGCUCUUUACUGAGUGUCGAGGUGGGCCGGCACGUUUACUUUGAACAAAUUAGAGUGCUUAAAGCAGGCUAAAAAAUCGCCUGAAUACUGUGUGCAUGGAAUAAUGGAAUAGGACCUCGGUUCUAUUUUGUUGGUUUUCGGAACCCCGAGGUAAUGAUUAAUAGGAACGGAUGGGGGCAUUCGUAUUGCGACGUUAGAGGUGAAAUUCUUGGAUCGUCGCAAGACGGACAGAAGCGAAAGCAUUUGCCAAAAACGUUUUCAUUGAUCAAGAACGAAAGUUAGAGGUUCGAAGGCGAUCAGAUACCGCCCUAGUUCUAACCAUAAACGAUGCCAGCUAGCGAUCCGCCGACGUUCCUCCGAUGACUCGGCGGGCAGCUUCCGGGAAACCAAAGCUUUUGGGAUCCGGGGGAAGUAUGGUUGCAAAGCUGAAACUUAAAGGAAUUGACGGAAGGGCACCACCAGGAGUGGAGCCUGCGGCUUAAUUUGACUCAACACGGGAAACCUCACCAGGCCCGGACACCGGAAGGAUUGACAGAUUGAGAG
rnacentral:rRNA from 1 species